GGGCGGWUCCCCGCCCCCGACGUCGCGAGAAGUCCAUUGAACCUUAUCAUUUAGAGGAAGGAGAAGUCGUAACAAGGUUUCCGUAGGUGAACCUGCGGAAGGAUCAUU
rnacentral:rRNA from 1 species